rnacentral:rRNA from 1 species
GACGAACGCUGGCGGCGUGCCUAAUACAUGCAAGUAGAACGCUGAAGCUUGGUGCUUGCCCCGAGCGGAUGAGUUGCGAACGGGUGAGUAACGCGUAGGUAACCUGCCUGGUAGCGGGGGAUAACUAUUGGAAACGAUAGCUAAUACCGCAUAAGAGUAGAUGUUGCAUGACAUUUGCUUAAAAGGUGCAAUUGCAUCACUACCAGAUGGACCUGCGUUGUAUUAGCUAGUUGGUGAGGUAACGGCUCACCAAGGCAACGAUACAUAGCCGACCUGAGAGGGUGAUCGGCCACACUGGGACUGAGACACGGCCCAGACUCCUACGGGAGGCAGCAGUAGGGAAUCUUCGGCAAUGGACGGAAGUCUGACCGAGCAACGCCGCGUGAGUGAAGAAGGGUUUCGGAUCGUAAAGCUCUGUUGUAAGAGAAGAACGAGUGUGAGAGUGGAAAGUUCGCACUGUGACUGUAUCUUACCAGAAAGGGACGGCUAACUACGUG